CCCAUCUUCCAUUGCCAAUUUGCUGUCUCAAUUUAAAACGCACUACGUACAACUCUCCAUGCAGAAAUUUAGCAGUCAUGUAGUUGAAAAGUGCCUUAAACAUUUGGAUGAGAGCCGGGAACAAAUUAUUCAUGAAUUGAUAUCAGUGCCACGCUUUGAACAGCUAUUGCAAGAUCCAUUUGCCAACUAUAUCAUUCAAUCUGCCCUGGCAAUUACUAAGGUUUGUAAACAAAGAUGUUCUGCUCGUAGCUGUUAUAAAUUUAUAAAAUAAUCUUUCUGCCUCUCCCUCACUCUGUUGAUUUCCUUGUUGAAAGCAGGGUCCUCUUCAUUCUUUACUGGUUGAUGCAGUCCAACCGCAUGUGACUUUAUGUAGCAACCCAUAUAGUAAGAGGAUAUUCUCGGGGAAUCUCUUGAAGAAAUGAUGUAAACUGGUCGUAGGAAGUAUUGUGUUAUGUCAGAGUUACAUCCUUGUUCACUACUAAUAAAUAGUCUAUCAAGUGAGGGCCACUGGAUGUAGAACGUCAUCAGAAUCUGCUGCUAGUUUCCUGAUUAGAAAUUUCUCAAC